GCAUUGCAUUGAUGAAUUAUGAAUUUUCGCAUGUCAGACUUCAGAGAUGCCUUUGGUGUCAAUGAGAAGUCAUGUCAUAUGACUGAGCAAUGA
rnacentral:snoRNA from 3 species